UAACGCGUGGGUAACCUGCCUUAUACUGGGGGAUAGCAGCUGGAAACGGCUGGUAAUACCGCAUAAGCGCACAAUGUUGCAUGACAUGGUGUGAAAAACUCCGGUGGUAUAAGAUGGACCCGCGUCUGAUUAGCUAGUUGGUGAGAUAACAGCCCACCAAGGCGACGAUCAGUAGCCGACCUGAGAGGGUGACCGGCCACAUUGGGACUGAGACACGGCCCAG
rnacentral:rRNA from 1 species